GUGCUUCCAUUUCCCUGUGAGUGAAACGUAAGAUCCUAUACAGUAGCUGGGAGGCUCCCGUGGACAGUACGCCCGGGCCCCCAGAACGACUUAGCGACUGAGAACACAUAUCGACGUUGGUAUUGUUAGCUGUGGAUGUGGGAUGACCCUGACCUGGUAACGCUGUGACAGAGGACGGUCCACAAGUACCGUGAGUGGACAGGCAGUGCCCCCGUGGGAAGAGACUCUGGUUUACAGUCAGAGGUCGUAAAUUCAAAUUCCGUUACUGCCAUUCCUAGCUGUGUGACGCCGGGGAAAACUGAUUCACCUCUCUGAGCCAAAUGGGGAAAACAACGGGACGUGAGCCUCAAAGGAGAUCAUGUGUCGGCAAGAGCCUGGUACCCCGCCUGACACGAAGCACGACUCGGCAGGUGUUCUGUUGCUACCGAAUUAAACUGAUUUCUGCAAAAGGUCUGAAAGACGAGAGACAGGAGGUGGCGGUUAGAAAAUGCGGUUUCCGCUCUUCUCAGCUGCUCCCCGCAGGUGGGCGACCCCUCUCAUGAGACGCUGCCACCGCCGCUGGAGGGCCAGUCAGCAUGUGAGGACGCGUAUGAGGACACAGUGAGGAGAUGGCUAUCUAGAAACUAGGAAGUGGGUCCUCCCCAGACCCUGAAUCUGCCACCACCUUGAUCCUGGACUUCCCAGCCUCCGGAACUGUAAGUAAAUGUCUGUUGUUUAUAAGCU